AAAUUGAAGAGUUUGAUCAUGGCUCAGAUUGAACGCUGGCGGCAGGCCUAACACAUGCAAGUCGAGCGGAAACGAGUUAUCUGAACCUUCGGGGAACGAUAACGGCGUCGAGCGGCGGACGGGUGAGUAAUGCCUAGGAAAUUGCCCUGAUGUGGGGGAUAACCAUUGGAAACGAUGGCUAAUACCGCAUGAUGCCUACGGGCCAAAGAGGGGGACCUUCGGGCCUCUCGCGUCAGGAUAUGCCUAGGUGGGAUUAGCUAGUUGGUGAGGUAAGGGCUCACCAAGGCGACGAUCCCUAGCUGGUCUGAGAGGAUGAUCAGCCACACUGGAACUGAGACACGGUCCAGACUCCUACGGGAGGCAGCAGUGGGGAAUAUUGCACAAUGGGCGCAAGCCUGAUGCAGCCAUGCCGCGUGUGUGAAGAAGGCCUUCGGGUUGUAAAGCACUUUCAGUCGUGAGGAAGGUAGUGUAGUUAAUAGCACCAUUAUUUGACGUUAGCGACAGAAGAAGCACCGGCUAACUCCGUGCCAGCAGCCGCGGUAAUACGGAGGGUGCGAGCGUUAAUCGGAAUUACUGGGCGUAAAGCGCAUGCAGGUGGUUUGUUAAGUCAGAUGUGAAAGCCCGGGGCUCAACCUCGGAAUUGCAUUUGAAACUGGCAGACUAGAGUACUGUAGAGGGGGGUAGAAUUUCAGGUGUAGCGGUGAAAUGCGUAGAGAUCUGAAGGAAUACCGGUGGCGAAGGCGGCCCCCUGGACAGAUACUGACACUCAGA
rnacentral:rRNA from 1 species